rnacentral:hammerhead_ribozyme from 1 species
AUCCAGUUGAUGAGUCCAAAAUAGGACGAAACAUGAGUCCUGGAU